CUAGUCGUGGCCGAGCGGUUAAGGCGACAGACUUGGAAUCUGUUGGGAUAUACCCGCGCAGGUUUAAAUCCUGCCGAUUACG
rnacentral:tRNA from 1 species